AGCGAACGCUGGCGGCAGGCCUAACACAUGCAAGUCGAACGAUCCUUCGGGAUAGUGGCGGACGGGUGAGUAACACGUGGGAACGUACCUUUAGGUUCGGGAUAACUCAGGGAAACUUGGGCUAAUACCGGAUGUGCCCUUCGGGGGAAAGAUUUAUCGCCUUUAGAGCGGCCCGCGUUAGAUUAGCUAGUUGGUGAGGUAAAGGCUCACCAAGGCUCCGAUCUAUAGCUGGUCUGAGAGGAUGAUCAGCCACACUGAGACUGAGACACGGCCCAGACUCCUACGGGAGGCAGCAGUGGGGAAUCUUGCGCAAUGGGCGAAAGCCUGACGCAGCCAUGCCGCGUGAAUGAUGAAGGUCUUAGGAUUGUAAAAUUCUUUUAGCAGGGACGAUAAUGACGGUACCUGCAGAAAAAGCCCCGGCUAACUUCGUGCCAGCCGCCGCGGUAA
rnacentral:rRNA from 1 species